AAACAUAUAUGUAAUACCUAAAGGAUUAUUGUUAGUUUUUUGAUUUAACAUUCCUGCUCUCAGUUAUGUGGGGUCUGGGUAAAAAGGCUAACAACUAAGAACUCUGCAAUUUUCUGUAUUUCUGGUCAACCUUAUAUCUUUAGACUACUAAUUCAUCUGAUACUUCAUAGUUCUAUGCAAUACGUAUAGUUACAAGAUGAGGUUGAAAUAAUAUUAUGAUUUAUGUAAGAUUCUAACAUAAUGGGUUAUUAUCUAUUUAUAUGAGACAACAAAGGCUCCUACAACGUUGUAGCAUUACUUCAGAUAUUUUCAUAUCUGCAUUGGCUUUGGGUCCUGACGGGUUUGAUGGCGGUUCCGAAUAAACAAAAGCAAAGGAUCCCAUUGCUCUACUCGGAAUAUUUUAAUAGAAGAUGGAGACAUGGAGUAGGAGGAUGAGCGGAAGCUGCAAAUAAGCCUCAUGAUUGAGGGGGGCGGGAGGCAAUGGUAAUGAUGCUUAUGGCAUAACCACAACCUGGACGUGUUGGCAUUUAGAAUUGGCAAACAGAGGCGGCGCGUAGACAACAACCUGGACCACCAUCCUCCCUUGCCUUUUUUGUUUUGGUUGUGGUUGCUGCAUCAUCGACGGCAUCACGAGUUAGUAUGUAGUGCGCUUGUGGAGUUGGGGUAUGUACUAUAGUGUCUAUGCAGUAGGUUAGGUGGUGUUGUUGCUAGAUCCAAUGAUGCGUUUUGCCUUACGUGGAGGCCAACCUUUGUGAUCUUAUUUGUCGACACUUGUUAUAUUGAUGUGGUAUGGUGUGUGUUGUAUGUA